AUCAUUGUCGAAACCUGCGAAGCAGACCAGCGAACAUGUAUAAGAAGCUUCGGGGUCUUGGCUUCGGAUGCCUAGAUGCUCCGAGUCCCGACCCCGACCCCCAGGCGACGGGCCUCGUCGCCCGGCGCCUGGGCUCUCAACCCUCUCGGCGCGGGAAGCGCCAAGGAGAACGAUCAUCGGAACGCCUUUGCAUCGAGGGGCGCCUCUCCCGGCACCCGAGAUGUGACAGGGACAGUCUGCUGAAAUGUAAAAAACGACUCUCGGCAACGGAUAUCUCGGCUCUCGCAUCGAUGAAGAACGUAGCGAAAUGCGAUACUUGGUGUGAAUUGCAGAAUCCCGUGAACCAUCGAGUCUUUGAACGCAAGUUGCGCCCGAAGCCUUCCGGCCGAGGGCACGUCUGCCUGGGCGUCACGCAUCGCGUCGCCCCCUCACAUCCCACCACCCCGAAGCCGGCGCUUCGGGGGAGGGAGGGAUGCACGUGGAGGAGGGGGCGGAUAUUGGCCUCCCGUGAGCCACGAGCAAGCGGUCGGCCCAAAUAGGAUACGACGUCGAUGGAUGCCGCACGACAACUGGUGGUUGGAUCUCUCAACUCGCACGCCGUCGUGCGGGACCCUAUCGGUCGUCGUGGCGACCCUCUGGCACCUGAUGCCUCGAAUGCGACCCCAGGUCAGGCGGGAG
rnacentral:rRNA from 1 species